rnacentral:tRNA from 1 species
GGCAGUGUAGCACAAUGGAUAGAGCCCUGAACUGGAACUCACGAGAGCUAGGUUCUAUUCCUAGCUCUGCCA